GACGAACGCUGGCGGCGUGCCUAAUACAUGCAAGUCGAACGCAGUGGGGACGGGUGAGUAACACGUGGGUAACCUCCCAUCAGAGGGGAUAACACUUGGAAACAGGUGCUAAACCGAUACUGAUGGAUGGACCCGCGGUGCAUUAGCUAGUUGGUGAGGGAACGGCUCACCAAGGCCACGAUGCAUAGCCGACCUGAGAGGGGGAUAGGGAACACUGGGACGGAGACACGGCCCAGACUCCUGAGGGAGGCAGCAGGAGGGAAUCUUCGGCAAUGGACGAAAGUCUGACCGAGCAAGGCCGCGUGAGUGAAGAAGGUGGUCGGGUCGUAAAGCACUGUUGUUAGAGAAGCGGUAUCUGACCAGAAAGCCACGGCUAACUACGUGCCAGCAGCCGCGGUAAUAC
rnacentral:rRNA from 1 species